rnacentral:rRNA from 1 species
UGCCAGCCGCCGCGGUAAUACGGAGGGUGCAAGCGUUGUUCGGAAUUACUGGGCGUAAAGCGCGCGUAGGCGGCUAUUUAAGUCAGAUGUGAAAGUCCACGGCUCAACCGUGGAAGUGCAUUUGAAACUGGAUGGCUUGAGUACUGGAGGGGGUGGUGGAAUUCCCGGUGUAGAGGUGAAAUUCGUAGAUAUAGGAAGGAAUACCGAUGGCGAAGGCAGCCUCCUGGACCAACACUGACGCUGAGGUGCGAAAGCGUGGGGAGCAAACAGGAUUAGAUA